rnacentral:lncRNA from 1 species
GGUAGCUGCGCGUGCGCGGUGGCUGCGGAGAGCAACGCGUAAGGCUGACCGCUGGCGUUCUUGGUCCCCGACCGCCGGUACCCGGCAUCCUUCCUUAUCCGGGACAGCUUGGAGCCCUGGAUGACCUGAGGAGCCAGGAGUCACACUCAGACUGCACCGUGGAUCGUCCUUAUUCAGCUGUGAACGAAUCUACAGGAAAAACCUAACUGGAAUGUGCCAGGCUCUAGCCAGAGGAGACCCCAAAACUAUGAACUGCAACAGAUAACGAGCCGCUGGCUCCGACGCAUCUGCGACCAGUCUCGGGGUGCUUUAUCCACACGCUGGAUUCAUUCCAUGAUGCUGAGUGAGGAAAGCUGGAUUCUCGUCGCAGCCCGGCCACGACCAACUACUUGACCUUGGCCCACGUGUUCUCAGUAUGGAGACAACGCCAGCUAUGACCGCUGAUUUGAAGCAUGUCCUACCUUCUGCAGUUUCUCAGGUCCAUCGACCUCCAUCUCUCUUCUGUGGCUUCAUCAGAGAAGGAUGAGUGAGCAGUGCUGGUUCCCUGUCCUGUGCUGAGAUGACAUUGCAGGGGUACAGAGGAGACAAGCCACGGACAACCUGUAGCAACAGGAGGAGGAGAAUUAAUAGGAAGGUGUUUACAUAGCAUAUGACUCCGUUUAUGCGAAAUUUCCAGAAUAGACCAAUCCACAGAGACAGAACACAGACUAAUGGUUUCCAGGGGCUCAGGGAAGGCAGGAUGGGGAGUGGCUGCUUAACAGUCUGAGAAGACCAGAGACUUUCUCUCUGCCCCGCACCCCGCCUGCCAACCACGCUGGAUCUCAGACAUCUGACCCAGCUCAGCUCAUGGAAUGCUUCUUCUGAGACUUCAGGUCACAGAGAGUGAUGCAAGGACACAGAGGCAGGUGAGAGACCACCCCCGACAGCCGAGCCCAAGGAUGAGAGUCCAGCAGCAGCACCAUCCAGCAGAGUGUGGGACUUUGGCAUUGAGUGGCCAGGGGCAGCUGUGCCUGGCAGCAUCUUCAUCACACUGACCCUGAGGGGUGACCUUGGCUGUGAUACCCACUGCCUGGCCUCUUGUUCUGGUCAUCCUAUGAGCCUGGUUUGCCACCCUCUCUUCAAUUCUCAAGCUACCUGAUAUCUUUCCAAUAAAUUCCUUGGCUGCUCAAGUUAGCCAGAGCUUGUUUCUGUGACUUGUCACUAGGAACCCUGACAUUGACGUAGACUUACUGCCUCCCUUCAAAACAGAAAAUGUGGUGCAUUCCAAUUAAAUGCCAACGAUUCCUUGUAAAAUUGAAGUGCUGUCUG